CGCUCUGGACAUAGGGUUAUUUUCCCUCCACUUUGCUGUAAAUCAGAAAAAGUGCCAAAAUCCAAACCUCUCUUCUCCGGCCGCCUCGGCGCACUUUCGCCAAAGUUGUAUUCAGUGUCUCUCUGUUAAAAGUUCGAAAAAUCUCAACCUCAAAAUUUCAAAAUUGGGCUGAAAAUAGUUGCCUACUUAACGUGGUAUUCAAGAAAAUGAAUUACAACGCCGACGGUCCAAAGCUUGAUUUGAAAAAACUGAAUUUAUCCCCCACCAAGGGCAUAUAUUCAUGUUGAAUCUCCCAAUCGAUCAGUUUCAUCUUCAGAGAUAUCAUCUCCAAGUUCAUGUUUUUUUCUGGAAGUUAGCUCGGACGAAACUCUACGCAGCCCCUAAGGAGACUACGAUGAUGCUGGUCGGUUGUCCUCGAUGUCUAAUGUAUAUUAUGCUAUUGGGAAAGGACCCGAAGUGCCCCAAAUGUAAGCGCACUUCCUGCAAGAGGACAGGACAAGGAAAUCAAAGAAGUGAAGAUCCAUUAGUCUUUUGCUAAAUCUUGAUCAAGAAUGUUAUUACUUAAUUUUCACUCCAAAUGCUCCCUGUUUUGCUUCUUUUGUUGUGCUAAUUUUUUAUUUUUAUUUUUUGCUUUUUUAAUCUUUGUAUUGUCGACAGUGUAGAAACUAUUGAAUUCGCGUGUACUAGAUAGGACAAUAAAAUUUAUUUUUGAACCCAUUUGAUUCAGUUCAAUCCAACAUAUUAAACAUGAUACUUACA